AUACUUUUUCUUGUCACUGUAUAUAGAGCAGGCUAAGGGAACUACUUGUGCUAAACCUAAGUAAAUAUUGCCAUUAUCUCACACAAGUGACUCACAGAUAGCAGCUUUAUUAGCAUAUUAUGCUGUAUAAAAGGAGAAGGAGAGGAAAGUCAAGUAAAAGAGAGCUCAACACACAUCCAAAGGAAAUACAAUCAGAUCUCAAGACUCCUGAAGAAAGGAAAGAUGAAAGCUGUAUGUUUUUCUCUCCUUCUCCUGCUGCUGGCGUGUAGCUUUGGAGAGGGCCUGAGAUGCAACCGAUGUAUUGGCAAUGGCUGCAGUAACACAGUGGAGACCUGCCGUGUUGACCAUGACACCUGUGCCAUGGUCAUAUUCAAGUACCCACUUCCUAUUUCAUACUUCAAGAGAUGCAUGAAGAUGUCAGAAUGCAUGCUGCUGGGAAGCAACAAGGACAUUGAUGCCUAUUGCUGCACCACCAACCAAUGCAACUGAGAGACACAUCCUCUGACUACCAUACUGUAUACUAUACAGUCCAUUAAUUGUACUAAUCAAUGCACAUGAUUGAAACUGCCAAGAAGUAACAGAAAUAAAGUUGUACUUUUGCUUCUUUGUUCCAAAUAGUUUGUAUUUAAUUAUUAUUUAUGUUUGACAUAAUUAAACUGUGAUUAGCCAGGUGAAACAUGAGCACUGCACUGAGCAAGUUAAUAUUUUCUGUGGUGGUACAGGGUAAUACAUCAUAUAGGCUAUAAACUAGUCCUGUAUAUGACUUGUAUGUGAUUUAUCAGGUAUAAACUAGACUCCAUUCAGCUUAAAAGUGUCAUUACACACUCUGUCCCAAUGUUGAAUGUCCCAAUGUGGAACAGAGCAGACCUUCAAUAGCUGAGUUGUGGAAAGUUAAUCUGGUGGAGCAAAUAGCUUCUUUGGAGGUAACUACAACUAUUUGAAUACAGAUCCCAAAAAUGACUGCUUUUUAAAACUAUUUGUGUUUUCAAAUAAAGUACCAAAUGUAACGA